UACGGAGGGUGCAAGCGUUAUCCGGAUUUACUGGGUUUAAAGGGUGCGUAGGUGGGCAGGUAAGUCAGUGGUGAAAUCCCCGGGCUUAACCCGGGAACUGCCAUUGAUACUAUCUGUCUUGAAUAUCCUGGAGGUGAGCGGAAUAUGUCAUAUAGCGGUGAAAUGCUUAGAUAUGACAUAGAACACCCAUUGCGAAAGGCAGCUCACUACGGGAUCAUUGACACUGAGGCACGAAAGCGUGGGGAUCAAACAGG
rnacentral:rRNA from 1 species